UCUGGGAGACAGCUAAGAAAGGGAGGAGGGGAGCACGUUUCUGCCCAAAAACCUGGGGAUUGGCCAAGAUGACUACACUGCUCCCUUCCCGGCUCUUAUAGUCUAAGCACCUGACUUUGACUUCUUGGGAACAGCUGAGUGACUUAAGGCCUGAAAAGAGAUGAGCAAUCUUCGAGGCACAGGCAGAAAAAGUCCCUGUGAGACAGGAAGACUGCUCGUUCCUGAUGCAUAAACUAGACAGUAGAGGCAGCACUUGCCUGACAUGGAGCUCACUCUGCUGUGGCGUCUGUGAGCAGCUGCCAGCUCCUCACCAGGCUGCCCUCCCUCCCUCUCCUCACUGGCUGAUGGAUCCCAAGAGGAGGCUCUUCUCCUUGAACGUCCUGCUGCUUCUGUCCCUGGCCUUUGAGCUGAGCUGCACAACGGGUGAGGGUUCGAUGAAUUGCCCAAAGGUCCUUGGGCGGCUGGGAAGCAGCGUGCUACUGCCCCUGACAUCCGAGGGGAUAAGAAAGAGCAUGAACAAGAGCAUCCACAUUCUGGUCUCAAUGGCAGAAUCACCCGUCCACAACAUCAAGAAGAAAAUAGUGUCUCUCGAUCUGCCAGAAGGGAGUUCUCCACGCUAUCUGGAGGAUGGCUAUGCGUUUCACCUGGAAAACAUGAGCCUGAGUAUCCUGGAAAGCAAGAAAGAGGAUGAGGGCUGGUACUUUUUGAGCCUGGAGGAAAACGUUUCUGUCCAGCAAUUUUGCCUGCAGCUGAAGAUCUAUGAGCAGGUCUCCAGGCCGGAAAUUAAGGUGUUGAACUCCACGCAGGAGAAUGGAAACUGCAGCCUGAUGCUGGCCUGUAUGGUGGAGAAGGGGGACCAUGUGACUUACAGCUGGAGCCAGGAGGGGGGUGUCAUCCUGCCAAGCCCUGCCAACUGCUCCCACCUCCUCUAUCUCACCCUUGGCCCUCAGCAUGCCGACAAUGUCUACAUCUGCACUGCGAACAACCCCAUCAGCAACCGCUCUCAGACCUUCAUCCCGUGGUCCAGAUGUAGCCCCAGUUCCUCAGAAUCAAGACAAUGGGGACUGUAUGUUGGGCUGCUCUUAGGGGGCAUCAUUGGUGUCAUCAUGAUUCUCCAAGUGGUAAUACUCCUGUUGAGAAGAAGAGGUAAAGCCAACAAUUAUCAGCGAGCAAUGGAAGCAAAAAGCCUUACUAUCUAUGCCCAAGUCCAGAAACCAGGUGUAAGUUCUGUACUUUCUUUGUCUGGGGUGUACCUGUCACUUUUCCCAUGGAGUCCCUGGCCAGUCAGUUCAUUCUGCAUGUCUGACAUUCUUGGUUCUACAUGGGUUCUGGAGCAGAGGAAAUUAGGAAAGCAGAAGUCAAGAUCAAGGGCUCCGUAAAAGGACAUCAAACUUCAGUGACAGAUGGGACUAUUUAUUACUUGAAAUAGUGGGAAACACUGGGUAAUUUUCUGACCAUCUGUUUCUUCAUAGGAAAAAAAAUGAAGAAGCUAGAAACACGUGAUUUAUGACUCCUUCCAGCUCUGGCAUUCUAGGAGUCUAUGGUUCUAUGUUAUCAAACUCUCUCCCUCUUUAGGGAAGAGAGUGCAGGCUUGAGGAGAGAGGGAAAGGCUGAGAAAGGCUAUUAUAUAACAUAGUUUAGGAAUUGGUCUGAUCCAAGCUUGGGAGUUGGCAAACACUAAAGAGACAGGAAGGGGGAUCUUGAGGAUUCUGUCUAAAGAGCGAUUAAAGAGACGGAAGAUGGUAUAUAGGCUGGCAAUGAAAGAAAGCAAACCUGCAAUGGAGUGAUGGUUAGACUAAGACAAAAGAGAAAGAUAAAAAAACUGAGUUCCCACUGUGGCUCAGCAGGUUAAAAACCUAACUAGUGUCCCUGAGAGUGCAGGUUCAAUCCCUGGCCUCGUUCAGUGGGUUAAGGAUCCAGCAUUGCCACACACCGUGGUAUAGGUUGAAGAAUCAACUGGGAUCUCACAUUGCUGUGGCUGUGAGAACAGCCUGGGAACUUCCAUAUGCUGCAGGUACAGCCCUAAAGGAAAAAAAACCAACUAGAGUCAUGAUGAAGUUGAGGAGCAGAUAUGUUAGAAGUAAGAGGGAGGCUAAAAGAAUUAUGGUUAGAUAUGAAAAUAUUUUAGUUUUUCAGAUAUGAAGCCAAUUCUAGGUGAUGUAUAGGCCAGAAUCUGGCCAUUCAGGGUGUAGGGAAGGUAAAUUCUUGAGUAAAGGAUGUGGCGGUAAAGGCAGUUUUGAUUAGCACCUAGGAAAAUAGCAUCGUAUAACAGUAAAUGCAUUUCUGAUAACCAGAAAUAAACUCGUGAACAAAGCUCUUCUUUCUGCUGUCCCCUAGUGGCCUGGAGGGUUUAUUACACAGGCCAUGACCAUAGUUGAGAACUAAACUCUGUUAAAUAUAUGCGAGUCCCAGGAGCAACCUCCUUUACAUUUACACAGUUAGGUAAUCAGGCUCAACUUUACCAUGGUGCCUUCCCAAUCUAUUCUAUCCCAUGCUGCUAACAGCUCUAUUGCUCCUGUAAAGAACACCCAUACCAAAAAGUGCACAGUGUAUAAAUGACAGGUCAUUGAAUUACCCCAUCUCGACAUCUAGUAAAGUAAGUCUCCCCUUCUUGUUUUUCUUCAAGAGUUUUUAGCUAUUCUUGUCCCUUUGUACUUUCUUAUGUAUUUUAGCUUCAGCUUCUCAAGUAUUACAAAAAGAAAAAAAAAUCCUAAUUGGAUUGCAUUGAAUCUAUAGAUCUAUAUGAGGAGAAGUUAUGUCUUUCAGUAUCGAGUCCUCUAGAACUAUAAAAACUACUCUCCAGUUUAAGGAACAGGACAUUGUCUGCACCCCUGAAGACCUCUUUAUGCCUCUCCCAAUCAGUCUAUUCUCUCUCCUGCCCAAGGAUUUCCCAGCCUGACUUCUGAAAAGAUAGUUUCAUUCCUCUCUCCCUCCCUCUCCCCUCACUCUCGCUCUCUAUCAAACUUUAUAAAAAUGGAAUCCUAGAGUAUUUUUCCUCCUGUGUCUGGUUUCUUUUGCUCAGUAUUACCUUUAUGAGAUUCAUGCAUGUCUUUGUGGUUAUAUAUAAUGCAUUUAUUUUCAUAGUUUUAUGGAAUAUCAAUGUAUGCAUAUACUAGAGUUUAUUUAUGCAGUUGACUAUUAAUGGACAUUUGGGUUACUUCCAGUUUGAGACUAUUAUGAAAAUUACAGCUAUGAACAUUUGUAUGUGAACUUAUUGGUAGAUAUGUGCACAUAUUUGUCAGGCAUAUGCCUAGAGGUAGACUUGCUGAAUCACAGACAAUUCAUAUCUUCAAAUCAAUUAGAUAAGGCCAAAGUGAUUUUCAAAGAGGGUGUACCAACGUACUUUUAUACAACUACUUAUAAGAGUUUCAGUCAUUACACAUUCUAAUCAAAACUUGAUAUCAUGGGUCUUUUAAAUUUUGGUCGCUCUGUUAGAUGUGUAUUUUUAUAGUUUUUUUUUUUUUUGCAUUCCUCUAAUUAGUAAGGAGUUGAACAACUUUUCAUAUGUUUAUUGGCCAUAUUAAUAUCCUCCUUCUUAAAAUGCCUCUUAAAUCUCUUGCCCAUUUUCUUUUGAUUUUCAGUCUGUUUGGGGGGGAUUAUUGUAAGAUCUUUAAGUAUUUUUCACUUUUUGGCAGUUAUUUGUUAGCAAAUACUUUCACCUAUCCUGUGGCUUUCCACUGCAAUUUCUCGGAGAUACUUGUGGAUAAAGAAAAGUUCUCCAUUUUUGCGUAGAAGAAUUUAGUAAUCUCUUCUUUUGUAGAUAGCACUUUCUGUGUUCUGUUUGAGAAAUCUUUCCCUACUUCAGGUAUGAAGAUAUUCUUUCAUCAUCUUUUAAAAAUUGUGUAGUUUAUCUUUUACAUUUAUAUCUGUUAUGUACCUAAAAAUGAUUUUUUUGAGUGUGGUGUGAGAUGGGUCAUGUUUUGUUUUUUUACAUAUGGACAUCCUAUUGACUGUAUUUAAUAGAUUGUCCUUGCCCCACUGCAAUGCCACUUUUCAUCAUAAGUCGAGGGUCUGUACAUGUGUGGAUCUAUUUUGAAGUUCUCUGUUGUGCCCCAUUGGUCUAUUUACACUUGCACCAGUACCAUACUGUCUCUACAAAUCUGUGAUUAUAGAUUUAUUACAAGUUUGUUAGCUGGUAAAAUGAGUCUUUUCACUUGUUCUUCUUCUAGUUUUUGGCCAUUUUUAGUCCUUGGCAUUUUCACAUAUAUUUUAGAUUCAGUUUGUCAAGAUCCUCCUUAAAAUCUUGCUGGAAUUUUAAUUAGAACUGCAUUGAUCAAUUUGAGGAGACCACAUAUAUUUAUAAUAUUGAGUCUUUCAACUCACAAAAUGAUAUAUCCUUUCCUUUAUUUAGAUCUUCUUUAAUUUCACCCAAUUACUGCCUAAAUUAUCUUCUGCAACUUACCUCCAAAGUGCUGGCUAUCUUGUUUUUACUAAAAAAUUAUAGUUUGUGAACAAGUAACAUCAGCAUUACCUGGGACCUAAUUAGAAAUGUAAAAUCUCAGGCUCUGUCCCAGAUCUUCUGAAAUAGAACUAGCCCUCUGACAAGAUCCCUGGGUAAUUCACAUGCACAUUAAAAUAUGAGAAGCUCCGCUCUACUGCAAACACUUGCAGUAAUGGGGAAUUCCCUGUCUCUCAAGGCAAUUCAUCCCACAUCUGAGCACCUCUUGCCAUUAGAAAGACCUUCAUUAUAUUGAACCAAAAUAUUUCCCUAAAAAUUUCAACCUUGGUUUAAAGCUGAAGGAGUCUGCAGAACAAAUCUAAUUCCUCUCCUACAUGGCAAUCCAUCAAAUAUAUGAAGAAAAAAUCAUGUCCCACCUUCAGUCUUCUUUCCUCUAGUAAUCUUUUCUAAUUCUUUACCUCUCCCAUCAGAUGACAAGAUUUCAAGUUCCCUCCCAUUAAAAAUCCAUGUGCUACACACACACACACACACACACACACACACAGUGGAACAUUACUCAGCCAUUAAAAGAUAACAAAAUAAUGCCAUUCACAGCAACAUAGAUGUAACUAGAGAUUCUCAUACUAAGUGAAGGAAGUCAGAAAGAGAAAGACAAAUGCCAUAUGAUAUGACUUAUAUGUGGAAUCUAAAAUACGGCACAAAUGAACCUGUCUAUAAAACAGAAACAGACUCACAAACUUGUGGUUGCCAAGGGAGUGGGGGCACUGGGAGUUUGGGGUUAGCAAACUAUUAUAUUUAGAAUGGAUAGGCAAUAAGGUCCUACUGUGUAGCACAGGGAACUAUAUCUAGUCUCUUGGGAUAGACCAUGAUGGGAGAUAAUAUAAGAAAGGGAAUGUGUGUGUGUACAUAUACACACACAUAUAUAAAUAUGACUGGGUCACUUUACUGUACAACAGGAAUUGGCAAAGCAUUGUAAAUCAACUAUACUUCAACAAAACCUUUAAAAAUGGGGGGGGUGUGCUUCAGUUUUAAGUCUUGCUCUGUGUCCAGGGAAAGCAGAGAGUAGCAUUAUCCUACACCAGUGCCCCCAUGUGUGUUGGAAGGAUGACACUUCCCAGGGACUUCCACUUUAGAGGGAUAUGGUCUCAAUUUGCCCUACAUUGACUUCUUCCUGGUACUGUGUAUUUUAAUUCAUGCUAUGUAACCCCAGUAAACAUCGACUGAAGGUUUCUAAUGUGCCCAGCACUGUUUUGUGAGGAAUGCAAAAAAAUAUACGUAGGCUAUUAUCUCAAGGAAUGGAUGGUCUGUUUGGAGGCGUGAAAGUAUAUUGGAGUGUUUUAAAUACAGUAUAGAGUUAAGUGCUGUAACAUGUGAAUGAUACUUUAAGUACCUGAAGAAUUGAGGUUGAAGGAGAAGUCAUAUAAGUUAGGGUAAGCAAAGAAGAAUAGUAGGAUGGGAUGAAUAAUCAAUUUAAGUUAAAAUGCUGGCUUUGAUACUUCUUGCAUAUGCACAUUAGGAAAGUACUAAAUCUUUCUGGGCUUCAGCCUCUUCCUGUGUAAAAUGGGAGUAACAGUAUUUAACAUAUAGAGUGGUUUUGAUACAAAUGAGAAGAUGUAUGUGAAGAACUGGGUAAACUUUAACCCACUUGCUCAUGUGUGGUUAUUAUUAAGUUCAAUAUUGGGGCAGGAAAGAGAAAUGAUGCAAAACCAUGUUAGAGUCAGACACAGCAGGACCUCUGCAGGUUUGGGGUGAUAUGAGUGAGACUAAAACACUAUAAAAAUCCCAUUCCCUGUGGCUGCCCGUGUUCAGUUCACUCUGAGGAAGACCUUUAAAACAUCUAGGAAGUGAUAAUGAUGAGUCAGCCCUUCUCUCAAGGCUGUGUGUUCCAAAAUGACACUUGGGGAGUCUAUGCAAAGCCCAGAGAAUUGGGCUCCAGAGAAUUCAGGGGUGAAUUUUCACCUUGGAAGGAGGCUGGACCAAGUGACUCCAAGGAGCUUUCUAACUCAAAGCUUCUUGAUUCUGGGCUUCUCCAUAGGGAGAGUUGGAUGGGAAAUCACUCUCUGCUCAGCUAAUCUCCUGCUUUCUUUGCUCUCCUUAUAGUCUUUUCAGAAGAAACCUGACCCCCUGCCAGCUCAGGACCCCUGCACCACCAUUUAUGUUGCUGCCACAGAGCCCAUCCCAGAGCCCGUCCAGGAAUCAAGCUCCAUCACAGUCUAUGCCAGCGUGACUCUUCCGGAGAGCUGACACCACAGACCCAGUGAAGGGACUUUCUGAAGGAAUAGGGAGGAGCCAAGAUAAACACUGAUCUUGGCCCCAGGUCACAAGUUUCUUGUGACAGCUACACAUCUGUACUCUUCUCGGAUGGACUCCCUGGUGAUGUGUCUUCCACAUCUAUCUGUGACAUGGAUAAGGAAGGGAGGUUUCUCAAGCACUUAGCCUGCUCUGCAAGGGACACAGGCUCAGAACAGAGAGCUACUUGGUCUAGCUUUCCAUCUCAGUAGUGCAGCAGACGAAAUGGAUAAUAUGGGUCCAGCUAGUACAGAACUUCAGAGGCCUUGCUCUUUGCUGCGAUUGGAUAAUAAAAGCCAAAGGCAGAAAACCAGGACAGAACAUCUAGCACCUAUCUCAGACAGCUGACUACCUGUCACAAAGUCUGGGACAGCUUACUCUGGCUGCCUGUACUCGGUAGGGCAGCUGCUCCCGAUCACCAUGCAGACUUGAUCGAGGCUCUGUGCCUCAGUUUCUCUCUCUGGACAGGUAAUGAAGGGGGAAUUCCUCAUUGUAUGUAAAACACUCUGACAUUAUUCUAUAAAAGAAGCUAAUAGAGUAUUUUAUUUGUAAAACCAGGAAACUAAAGAGUCAAUAAACUGAAAAAUAUGACUUUGA